CCCGCCUCCUGCACCUCCCCAGCUUCAGCAGGGCCUCCCUGGGGCCUCCGCCCUGUCUUGCCUCAUCCUCCUCCGGCCACUUACAUGUUGCCGGCGUGUGCCCUCCGGCCACCGGUCCGCCGGCGGGCCCGUGCUUCUCAGCUCCAUCGGGCUCACAGAGUUGGGGGCUGUUUCUUCCCGGACCACCACCCAAUCCGGGUUUCAGAGCCGGCUCUCCAUCGCCACGUCCGCCGC